GAAAAUGAAAACUAUGGGAGCUUCUAACUCCCGUCCUUGCAAUUUGUGUAACAUUUUUC
rnacentral:tRNA from 1 species